GAGCGCUGAAGGUUGGUACUUGUACCGACUGGAUGAGCAGCGAACGGGUGAGUAACGCGUGGGGAAUCUGCCUUUGAGCGGGGGACAACAUUUGGAAACGAAUGCUAAUACCGCAUAAAAACUUUAAACACAAGUUUUAAGUUUGAAAGAUGCAAUUGCAUCACUCAAAGAUGAUCCCGCGUUGUAUUAGCUAGUUGGUGAGGUAAAGGCUCACCAAGGCGAUGAUACAUAGCCGACCUGAGAGGGUGAUCGGCCAC
rnacentral:rRNA from 1 species